CUGGUGGCGAGUGGCGAACGGGUGAGUAAUAUAUCGGAACAUGUCCGGAAGUGGGGGAUAACGUAGCGAAAGUUACGCUAAUACCGCAUAUGCCCUGAGGGGGAAAGGGGGGGGAUCGCAAGACCUCUCGCUUUCGGAGUGGCCGAUAUCGGAUUAGCUAGUAGGUGAGGUAAAGGCUCACCUAGGCGACGAUCCGUAGCUGGUCUGAGAGGACGACCAGCCACACUGGGACUGAGGCACGGCCCAGACUCCUACGGGAGGCAGCAGUGGGGAAUUUUGGACAAUGGGGGAAACCCUGAUCCAGCCAUGCCGCGUGAGUGAAGAAGGCCUUCGGGUUGUAAAGCUCUUUCGGACAGAAAGAAAUCGCAUCUACUAAUACUAGGUGUGGAUGACGGUACUGUAAGAAGAAGCACCGGCUAACUACGCGCCAGCAGCCGCGGUAAUACGUAGGGUGCGAGCGGUAAUCGGAAUUACUGGGCGUAAAGCGUGCGCAGGCGGUUUCGUAAGACAGAUGUGAAAUCCCCGGGCUUAACCUGGGAACUGCAUUUGUGACUGCGAGACUAGAGUGUGGCAGAGGGGGGUAGAAUUCCACGUGUAGCAGUGAAAUGCGUAGAGAUGUGGAGGAAUACCGAUGGCGAAGGCAGCCCCCUGGGCCAACACUGACGCUCAUGCACGAAAGCGUGGGGAGCAAACAGGAUUAGAUACCCUGGUAGUCCACGCCCUAAACGAUGUCAACUAGUUGUUGGGGAAGGAGACUUCCUUAGUAACGCAGCUAACGCGUGAAGUUGACCGCCUGGGGAGUACGGUCGCAAGAUUAAAACUCAAAGGAAUUGACGGGGACCCGCACAAGCGGUGGAUUAUGUGGAUUAAUUCGAUGCAACGCGAAAAACCUUACCUACCCUUGACAUGCCAGGAACUUUCCAGAGAUGGAUUGGUG
rnacentral:rRNA from 1 species